GUGGAUUAGAUACCCUGGUAGUCCACGCCGUAAACGAUGGGCACUAGGCGUCGGGGGGAGCGACCCUCCCGGUGCCGUCGCUAACGCAGUAAGUGCCCCGCCUGGGGAGUACGGCCGCAAGGCUGAAACUCAAAGGAAUUGACGGGGGCCCGCACAAGCGGUGGAGCAUGUGGUUUAAUUCGAAGCAACGCGAAGAACCUUACCUGGGCUUGACAUGCAUGGGAAAGCCGGUGGAAACAUCGGUUCCUCUUCGGAGUCCAUGCACAGGUGCUGCAUGGCCGUCGUCAACU
rnacentral:rRNA from 1 species